rnacentral:tRNA from 1 species
GCAUUGGUAGUUCAGUGGUAGAAUUCUCGCCUUCCACGCAGGAGACCCUAGUUUGAUUCCUGGCCAAUGUA